rnacentral:rRNA from 1 species
AGAGUUUGAUCAUGGCUCAGGACGAACGCUGGCGGCGUGCCUAAUACAUGCAAGUCGAGCGGUCCCUUCGGGGAUAGCGGCGGACGGGUGAGUAACACGUAGGCAACCUGCCUGUAAGACUGGGAUAACCUCCGGAAACGGAUGCUAAUACCAGAUACACGAUUUCCCUGCAUGGGGAGAUCGGGAAAGACGGCGCAAGC